GUAUUAGGUUGGUGCAAAAGUAAUUGCGGGUUUUGACAUUACUUUUAAUGGCAAAAACUGCAAUUACUUUUGCAUCAGCCUAAUAUUU
ensembl:miRNA